rnacentral:rRNA from 1 species
AGUGAACGCUGGCGGUAGGCCUAACACAUGCAAGUCGAACGGCAGCACAGUAAGAGCUUGCUCUUACGGGUGGCGAGUGGCGGACGGGUGAGGAAUACAUCGGAAUCUACUUUUUCGUGGGGGAUAACGUAGGGAAACUUACGCUAAUACCGCAUACGACCUACGGGUGAAAGCAGGGGAUCUUCGGACCUUGCGCGACUGAAUGAGCCGAUGUCGGAUUAGCUAGUUGGCGGGGUAAAGGCACACCAAGGCAACGAUGCGUAGCUGACCUGAGAGGAUGAGCGGCCACACUGGAACUGAGACACGGUCCAGACUCCUACGGGAGGCAGCAGUAGGGAAUCUACCACAAUGGGCGAAAGCCUGACGGAGCAACGCCGCGUGAGGGAUGAAGGUCUUCGGAUCGUAAAACUCUGUUAUUAGGGAAAAACAAAUGUGUAAGUAACUAGGCACGUCUUGACGGUACCUAAUCAGAAAGCCACGGCUAACUACGUG